AUGAGGGUCCCAUCGAUCCCAAUUGCAAAUCAUUCUCUAUUUUCAAUUAUCUCGGUCGACCAAGCGGCGCAUGUCAGUUUCGUUACUUAACAGGCGAAGAACGGCAGGCCGCCCAUACCUAUAUUUUACUGAACUGUCCAGAAGUGGAGCCAUACUUCCAGAUUUUUCAAAAUUCAAUGUAUGGACUACCACCAAAUGAGUUCGACCGUUUGUGCGAUGAACAAUUUGCAGCAUGGUUCAAAACAUAUGUUCACAGUAAUCAUGAUCAAGUUGAAGAGCAAGGAUUACUAUAUUAUCUGUCAUGGGGUCCACAGUCAAGCAUACGAAGUUGGCCAGCAUAUUUCAUAAACGGCACGAAGAAAAAUCGAGGAACACUGGAAGGAUACAGCAUAUCAACAAGAGGAAGUUUAUAAUGCGGUUCAAACUGAGGAAUAUAACAUUCCUACUCUACGAGAUCCAUGUGGAGCAAUGAUAGAUGUAGAUUUAACUGAAAUUCGCGA